rnacentral:rRNA from 1 species
CCUACGGGAGGCAGCAGUGGGGAAUAUUGCACAAUGGGCGAAAGCCUGAUGCAGCGACGCCGCGUGAGGGAUGACGGCCUUCGGGUUGUAAACCUCUUUCAGCAGGGAAGAAGCGAAAGUGACGGUACCUGCAGAAGAAGCGCCGGCUAACUACGUGCCAGCAGCCGCGGUAAUACGUAGGGCGCAAGCGUUGUCCGGAAUUAUUGGGCGUAAAGAGCUCGUAGGCGGCUUGUCACGUCGGGUGUGAAAGCCCGGGGCUUAACCCCGGGUCUGCAUUCGAUACGGGCUAGCUAGAGUGUGGUAGGGGAGAUCGGAAUUCCUGGUGUAGCGGUGAAAUGCGCAGAUAUCAGGAGGAACACCGGUGGCGAAGGCGGAUCUCUGGGCCAUUACUGACGCUGAGGAGCGAAAGCGUGGGGAGCGAACAGGAUUAGAUACCCUGGUAGUCCACGCCGUAAACGGUGGGAACUAGGUGUUGGCGACAUUCCACGUCGUCGGUGCCGCAGCUAACGCAUUAAGUUUCCCGCCUGGGGAGUACGGCCGCAAGGCUAAAACUUAAGGAAUUGACGG